AGAACGAACGCUGGCGGCAUGCCUAAUACAUGCAAGUCGAACGAACACUUCGGUGUUAGUGGCGCACGGGUGCGUAACGCGUGGGAAUCUGCCCUUGGGUUCGGAAUAACAGUUGGAAACGACUGCUAAUACCGGAUGAUAUCGAAAGAUCAAAGAUUUAUCGCCCAGGGAUGAGCCCGCGUAGGAUUAGCUAGUUGGUGAGGUAAAGGCUCACCAAGGCGACGAUCCUUAGCUGGUCUGAGAGGAUGAUCAGCCACACGUGGGACUGAGACACGGCCCAGACUCCUACGGGAGCAGCAGUAGGAAUAUUGGAACAAGUGGGCGACAAG
rnacentral:rRNA from 1 species